rnacentral:ncRNA from 1 species
AAUUUAGAACAACUUACUCAUAUAAUCGUGGGGAUAUGGCCCACAAGUUUCUACCGAUUCGCCGUUAACGAAUCGACUAUGAGAGGCAAUCU